rnacentral:rRNA from 1 species
UCGCACGAGAAAGGGUAGCAAUACCUGAGUACAGUGGCGCACGGGUGAGUAACACGUGAAUCAUCUACCUUCGAGUGGGGAAUAACUGGGAGAAAUCUCAGCUAAUACCGCAUAACACCUACGGGUCAAAGCAGCAAUGCGCUUGAAGAGGAGUUCGCGGCAGAUUAGUUAGUUGGCGGGGUAAUGGCCCACCAAGACGAUGAUCUGUAUCCGGCCUGAGAGGGCGCACGGACACACUGGAACUGAAACACGGUCCAGACUCCCACGGGAGGCAGCAGUGGGGAAUUUUGCGCAAUGGGGGAAACCCUGACGCAGCAACGCCGCGUGGAGGAUGAAAUCCCUUGGGAUGUAAACUCCUUUCGAUCGGGACGAUUAUGACGGUACCGGAAGAAGAAGCCCCGGCUAACUUCGUGCCAGCAGCCGCGGUAAUACGAGGGGGGCAAGCGUUGUUCGGAAUUAUUGGGCGUAAAGGGCGCGUAGGCGGUUUGACAAGUCUGAUGUGAAAUCUAUGGGCUCAACCCAUAGCCUGCAUUAGAAACUGUCGGGCUUGAGUAUGGGAGAGGUGAGUGGAAUUUCCGGUGUAGCGGUGAAAUGCGUAGAUAUCGGAAGGAACACCUGUGGCGAAAGCGGCUCACUGGACCAUAACUGACGCUGAGGCGCGAAAGCUAGGGGAGCAAACAGGAUUAGAUACCCUGGUAGUCCUAGCCCUAAACGAUGAUUGCUUGGUGUGACAGGUACCCAAUCCUGUCGUGCCGAAGCUAACGCGAUAAGCAAUCCGCCUGGGGAGUACGGUCGCAAGGCUGAAACUCAAAGGAAUAGA